CCUACGGGAGGCUGCAGUGAGGAAUAUUGGUCAAUGGCCGCAGGGCUGAACCAGCCAAGUCGCGUGAGGGAUGACGGUCCUAUGGAUUGUAAACCUCUUUUGUCAGGGAGCAAAGGGCGCCACGUGUGGCGCUUUGCGAGUACCUGAAGAAAAAGCAUCGGCUAACUCCGUGCCAGCAGCCGCAGUAAUACGGAGGAUGCGAGCGUUAUCCGGAUUUAUUGGGUUUAAAGGGUGCGCAGGCGGAAUGUCAAGUCAGCGGUAAAAUUUCGGGGCUCAACCCCGUCGUGCCGUUGAAACUGGCGUUCUUGAGUGAGCGAGAAGUAUGCGGAAUGCGUGGUGUAGCGGUGAAAUGCAUAGAUAUCACGCAGAACUCCGAUUGCGAAGGCAGCAUACCGGCGCUCAACUGACGCUCAUGCACGAAAGCGUGGGUAUCGAACAGGAUUAGAUACCCCUGUAGUC
rnacentral:rRNA from 1 species